rnacentral:rRNA from 1 species
AGAAUCAACGCUGGCGGCGUGCCUAACACAUGCAAGUCGCACGAGAAAGGGGACUUCGGUCCCUGAGUACAGUGGCGCACGGGUGAGUAACACGUGAAUUAUCUACCUUCGAGUGGGGAAUAACUGAGAGAAAUCUUAGCUAAUACCGCAUAAUACCUACGGGUCAAAGCAGCAAUGCGCUUGAAGAGGAGUUCGCGGCAGAUUAGUUAGUUGGCGGGGUAAUGGCCCACCAAGACGAUGAUCUGUA